ensembl:lncRNA
AAAUAUUUUUAUAAUAGUUUAUGUAAGAUUGGAAUUGAUUUUUCUUUGAAAGUUUGAUAGAAUUUACUUGUAAUUUUAUCACUAGAAACAAAAGAAAAUUGUUGAGAGAAUAAUAGGAAUGGCAUCUUAGAAAAGAUGUUAUUAAAACUGACAUUUUAACAAAAUUGGAUGAAUUUAAUCAUUUUAUAGUGGGGGGCACAAAUGAGUCAUUCCACACAUAAAAAAAGUGUGAGGAUGCUUUUUUGCCUCAUGAGAAUUUAACAACUUUACAACUGUUUAACCCCUUCCAAUUUCCUGUUUGUUGAGAAAAGGGAAGGAAAAAAGGAUUAUGUUGGUGAUUAAAUAAGGAAUAAGUAGGUAGAACUCAUUUCUUAUCACUGGAGUAUUCUAGAAGCAGAAUACACUGAUAUGGAAGGAGUUGGGGGAGCAGGCAUCAUAUGAACCUUCACUUUUCUCUGAAUAGAAAAAAGAGGGUUGAAUACUUAUUCCCAUACAUAGCUUCUACAUCCCCUACACAGAAUUGUGCCCUUGCAUUCACCUUUUCAGGGAAAAAGAGGGAGAUAGACAAAAGAGAUAGACAGACUUAAAAGUGAUAAAAGGGAAGGUUUAAUUGAGGAGGGCAACUGACAAGCAGAACAAGACUUCUUCCUUAGAAAGAUAUAUCUAUUAACAGUAAAUUGGACUGAUUCCUUCCUCAUUUAUGAAGUGUAGGAGGCAAGGAUGGACCCCUUCAUUGCGAGGCUAAUGAAAAAUAGACAAUAGUCCAAAACAUGCUGUAACUCCAUUAUCCACCCUUCUGAUCACAGGGCCCAGUGCAGAAAGCAAGGGCAGGAUAAUGACCACAGCUGGAGAGCCAGAGACCAUAAUGACUACAACUUCCAGCCCUGCAGUAAGAACACACUCUGUUCUGGCAACAACAGUCUCAACCACUGCCUCUGAUAUUGACUUGGAAAAAAUCACUGUGCCUGCUUCCUCUGCCUUGCCAGAGACCAUGGUAGCACCAGCUGCCUGGUCUGGAGUGGAGAUGAGCCCAUCUGAAACUAUGUUCAUUGCAGAGGGCUCAACCCUACCUGGGACUGGGACAGAAGGAGGGAACUCCAUAGGUGUCCCUUCACACCCUGCUACCCAUGACACCACAGCAUCGACCACAACCUUCCCCUGGACCAAUGUGCUCCCAGCAGGGUCUACAAGCACUUCAGCCACAAGUCUUUCCAGUGUCAGUAGAGAAGAUCCAAAGCCAAUGACCUCUCUGGACACAUCUGCUUCAGAGACCACAGCCAUGGCUACUGCAAUGGAAGAGCCAGCCCUGACUGAAUCCACAGUCACAAUGAACAUCAGCAGAGGAGCUGAGGCUGUGGUUCUGUCCACAAGUGAUUUGCCCACCAGCUCAGCUGUCCCACUCAUUCCCACAGAUAAAGUAUCUACCAGGACCACCAUGACCACUAUUGCAGACACUGGUCUGGAUGCUGUUAACCAGCCUGAGCUGUCUGAAAUACAAAGUCCACAAAUCGUCACUGAAUUCUCCCAGAAGAGUGAUGCAGGAUUCCCAUUGUCUUCUACUGCAACUGAGGCAACUGGAGCAAUGACCAUAACAUCUUCCACUCUCCUCUCAGGAUUGGGGGAGAGCCAGUCUUCCAUAGGCAGCAUUUCAGGAACAGAGGCCAUCGGAGACUCUCCCACCCUGUUCUCCUCUUUAGAAAGCACCAGUCCUGAGUAUGAGUUGAGCACUGAAGAAGCACUGUCUACUCUGCCAACAGAAAAAUUACUCGAAAUGGUCUCCAGAUCACUUACUAUUAUUUCCAAGAUGCCUUCUAAUGUCACUGCUUCAGCAUCAAGGACAAAUCUCCAAGGGUUGGAAAGUCAACGCAUGUCUACCCUGGAGGCCAAUGAUGACCUAGCAGUAGGCACUGGCCCUGGUGUGACCUUUACCUCUCCAAUAUCAAAGGGCACAUCUUUUAACAAUAUGGAUAUAGAUGUGGAAACUGCGUCAAAAUUAGCUCCAUGGUCAGCCAGCUCCUCAUCACAAGUAGAAGCCAGUUCUCCCGAUCUGGUUGUCACCACAGGAGAUGAACCCUCACUAGGAAUAGAACCUCACAAUCCCAUUCAUGAAUCUCUGAGUCCAAGGUCAGGAUUCUUUCCUGCCUUAAGUACCUCCAAGACCUGGACAAGCACAGCUUCCCUUGAGGCUGCUACUUCAUUGGAGGACCCAGGGCCAGCCGGCCUGAAUCCAGAGCCUGAGAGAAACCCACAGGCAACACCAACUCCAGCUAUCACCCUGCCUCCAGCCAGCACACAGGAAGUUUGCACAACAGCAUCUCCCAGUCCUCCUGACACAACCACAGAGGGCAGCAGUGUCCAGGCAGGGACAGCCUCUAUUUCUGAUCAAGUGCCUUCCACUUCAGGCCUCUUCCCAAGUAAGCAUAUUUUAAAUAAGCUUCCCAGGGAGGGAAUUGGGGUGUGGCUUGGAGGAAAUGGGGCAUGUCUGUCCAGGGAGGGUUGGUUUGUGUCUUUCUCAGGGGAAGAAUCUUCUUCCCAGGUCCUUCCUCUCUUUAGCCUUCCAAUGGGCCACUGUAGGGACUUUUUCUUGGCUCCAUAUCUGUUGAAUUAG